rnacentral:tRNA from 1 species
GCCGGUGUAGCAUAAAUGGAUAAUGCAGUGCUUUUGUAAAGCAAAGACCUGUCGGAUCGUACCCGACCACCGGCU